rnacentral:rRNA from 1 species
UACAGAGGGUGCAAGCGUUAAUCGGAUUUACUGGGCGUAAAGCGUGCGUAGGCGGUUCGCUAAGUCGGUUGUGAAAUCCCUGGGCUUAACCUGGGAACUGCAGUCGAUACUGGCGGACUAGAGUACGGUAGAGGGUGGCGGAACUCCGGGUGUAGCGGUGAAAUGCGUAGAUAUCCGGAAGAACACCGAUGGCGAAGGCAACCACCUGGGCCUGUACUGACGCUGAGGUACGAAAGCGUGGGGAGCAAACAGG